rnacentral:lncRNA from 1 species
UUAUAUAACACUUCUCUUGGUAAUAAAUGUGGGGGGAAUUCCUUGAUAUUAUUUUCAGUGAUGCUCAAGAGAGAAAAGAGUUUAUUUUUUUCUGUCGGAUCAUUAAAGGAUCCCACAAAAUUCAGAUGAAACAAAUUGUCUCCCAAAACAGUCAUUUCCUAAAUAUUUCAAAAACAACUAGUCACCCAAAUUAUUACAGAACAUGCUACAUUAAAGGACUCUCACAUAUUGCUGAUUUUCUUCAUGUAACGUUUGUGCACCUGUUCCAUCCAACAAAAUAAUAUGUUAUUUCACCUAAUAUUAAAAUAGUGUCACAAAAUAAGAUACAACUAUGCUGAUGGUAAUUCUGUUAGCAACAAUAUAUUGCCAGUAUGCUUUGCAAUCACAAUUUAGGAGGUAAUGUGAUUUUGCAUAUUGUUUAGUAUUAAUAGGGAAAGUUGUAUACAAGUAAUGAGAUUCCAGGUUUUCUUUUUGUCAAUUUAGUGGAAGGAGGAGAUUCCUUGUUAGGGGUGAAACCCUCUUUGGUUAGUUUUGUAGUAAAAUCUGUCCUAUAUCUAGAUUCUAUCAGUAAUCAUUAAUAAACUUUGUAGCAUUGAUGCUUCUGAUUAAAGGUGUGUCCACUAUCCGACAGAUGUUGGUAUUAUACACCGACACGACACUGACACAUGUUACCUUCAGUCACUUCUAUUUUUUCAAACUAUUACUAUCGUCUGUGUGUAUGGGUAUGUGUCUAUGUCAAUGCUACAGAUGAUAAAUCAAGAAUUUUUUGGUUGAGCUCUAGAGUCCAAUGAUUUGGUUGGACCCACGGAAUGCCUUUGAGUUUGACAAGGAUGGACUCAAGCAGAAAGACUGGCGAAACAUGGAAGACAUGAAUGCCAAGAUGCAAAGUUUGAAUUAUACCACGAGGAUCAAAUGUGAGAUUUUGGAGAAAUGAGCGAGAAACUUGACAGUGUGGAUGGCAUUCUUCAAUUUUUGAAGGAUUUAGCUUAGCGAAAUGAGGCUAGCUUGCACAAAGUUCUAACAAUGUUUGAAAUAAUUAAACGCAUGAUCAAAGGAAUUUUGAUGAUCAAAGGCAUUUUGAUCUUGAUUAAGUGAACCUUAAAGAUGAUAUUCCAAAUGAGUAUAAGAAGGCUUUUUAGAAAGAUUAAUUGCCUAAAUUUGAUUUAAAUGGUUCUGAUGGGUGGCUAGCUAAGGCUGCAAAAGAUAUUUGAGAUCCAAAUUAUCAAAGGGGUAAAGGUUUAAUUGGCCUUCAUAUGUAUGGAAGGCAGUGUUAUCUAUGGCGGAUCGCGGACAUCCGAAAACCCACCAGAAUGUCUUGGUGCUAUCAUCUUUCACAAAUUGCCCAUGGCUGUUGUCUUAAAAUCUGCCACCAUAAUCCACUAUGGCUGAUGGAAGUAACUGCUAUUCAUAGAGGUAGGUAUUAAAAGAGAGACGGAAAAAUUGAAAAAAGAAACAAAAACCAUACAGAAACUACAAGAUUAAGAACCAAUGAGUUCAAGAGAAGUAUGGAAUAGUACUUGGUAAGAAGAAGCGAAAUGGAGGCACUAUAGUUGUCGAGUUUGUAUAAUCUUUGAUCACAUGAGAAGAAAACCAAUGGAGGCACUAUAGUAGUCGAGUUUGCAUAAUCUUUGAUCACAUGAGAAGAAAACCAAUGGAGGCUCGAAUAACAAUGAGAUCAAAUAGAAGACAGUGUAAUUAGAACUAGAAGGGUAAACCAAUAGACGGCAUGGUAUGAUUAGACGAAUUUUUUCAAAACAAAAUGGUUUGGUUUUUGAUUGACCCCAACACACUCAAUUCACUCAUGCAGCUAAUCCUGCCAAAUAAAACAAAACAUGGCUGUAAUUUCUGUAUUGCUUCUGCACCACUAACAGAAUUAUCACAGGGAAGCCCUAUGGUCGUUGCAUUCUUUGAAAACAAUAAAUACUAAACAUUCUUUAUUGAUAAAAUGCAUCCCAGUACAUAAUUGGCCCCUCUUCAACUGAAAAUUUUCUUAGUAAUUUUUUUUUAAGGCUUAGUAUUCGGCCUUGCGACUGACUAAUCCAAGGGAAUCAAUCCCACCGUCCACUUGUGGAACCCCAUUUAAAGCCAAAGCAAAGUUUUGUAUGAACUAACCCAAGACAAGAAUUAUUUGCACCUAGCAGGAUUCGAACCUGAGACCUUGAGAGGAGUACACUAUCAGUACCCAAGCCUUCACCAACAGGCCAACCCCAGAGGUUUUCUCCAUACAGAAUUACCUGCUGCUCUGAGCUAAUAUGUUUCAAAAUGCUUUUAAUUACUUCCAUAAGUCAAGAAUUCCCAACAUUUUCUCUCAAAUAAAUAUACAAAACCUGUUAACAUAUCUUCAACCCUAUACCAUACAAGUAAAAUCCCACAUUUCUGCCAAAUGAAUGAUAAAAACAGUAAAGACAUAAAGAGAAAGAAAGCACUGAAAACAUAAAGUUAUAGAACUAGAAACCCUCAAAUUCUCCCCUAAAUACAACAUGCAACCAAAUUUAAGGCUUCAAAUACAUCAAAUUAAAUGCAUCAAUACUAAUCUCAAAAUGAUAUUCUUCACCGUCGUAUAAACUACACAAAAGACCAGAAAACUCAUACUAAAGAACUCGUAAGAGUCAGAAACAAAGCAGCAGCAAUAGUGAUGAAAUCUACAUCAACCUGAAAUUCUAGAAUUGUACAACACCAAUCUCCUAUAUCAACAACAUUUCAAAACAAUCCUAAUAUCACUAUUAACCUGAAACGAUCUUACGAUUUCAGUACCAAAUUCGAUAUUUCUUCAUUUCACAAACUAGAUCGGUGAUUCAAUUUAACAGUGAAAUCGUAGAAUCAAACAGAAUGCAUUAUUGAAGAAAUGGUUUACCUAAUUGCCAGUGGCGGAGGCGUGUUUGUCGGCGUAAUUAGGAGGAGAGUAGACGAGCGCAGCCACCAUGGCUCCCGGUAACACGCCGUAUCUCGCCAACGCUGCAACUUUGGUGACCACUGCUUUUCCCUUCAUGAACGCCAUAGCCGAAACUUCACGGAAUCAGAUAGAUCGGGUUUUCUGUUUUGAUAGAUGAAAAUCGGAUUAUGAAGAAGACGAGAAUUUUUAUUUUUAUAUUUUUUUUUGGUAGAAAAAAAGUGAGAUUUUGAAUAGAAUAUUGAUUAAGAUUUUAUUGGGCUUAAACUUUAGAAAAGUAAGAGAAAUUAAUUUGAACCCAAUGUACUUAUAUUUCCACCCCAAAUUCAAAUUGAUCGUUUUAAUUAACUUGAAGUGAAAGUUUUUAAAUUUUGGAUUUAAUGGGGAUGCAUUUAUAUUGUAAAAAAAUUUAUACUAUUGUCCAAUAAAAAUAUAUUAUUUUAUUAUAUUAUAUAAAUAAUUUAAAAUUUUUAAUCAGAUUUAACGAAAUACAUUAUUGUCAUUGGUUGACUGUGUAAAAUUAAUUUAUAAUAGUCGUGCAUCAUCAAUUUUCUCUUAAAUUUUUACUAAUUAAUACAAAAAAAAUUAUUAAAAAUAGCAGUAAAUAAAUUUCUACAAUAAAGAAGUUGCUUCCAAUAUAUUUAUAGGGUAGUGAGAGACAAGAUAUUUGUGUUUUAAAUGUACAUGUAAAAUAAUUUAUAGUUAAGAAGAUAUUAUAAAUAUUUACAAAAAAAAGAUUUUUUGUAAAAAUAUUAUUGGGUGUAGAUUAAUCGUGGUGGAUGAAUGAAGCGUGUUAAUAUUGGGUUUGAUGUUAAUAAUACAUCCUAAGCAAUGAAGCGCUUAAAGAGUGUGGUGAAUAGUUUGACUGGGUGAAUGAUAUAGUUAGUGAUGAAUUUAGAAAAGUUUGUUAGUUAGUUACUUUGAUGUUUAAGAGUUUAUUAAUUAAUCCAGAAAUCAUUUAACUAUAUAUAGUUUAAUGUUGUCUUCCAUUCAAAUUAAUGCAUGAGUUCUAAACCAUUACUUAUGACUCAAACUUUAUUCUUUGAUUUUCUAUUUUUUGAUUUUGCUCUUUUGUUUCUUUGUUACUUGCAUUGCACGUAACAGCUUUGUUGCGUCAUUAGUUGACAUCUAGAGCCUGGUUGCUAAACAUCAAAGGAUUGGUGUUGAUUCAUAGGAAAACUUUAGUGAUUUUGUGAGGGAAACACUUGGGAAACAUUGAGGGAAGAGUGAAUUAAAAUGUUUCUUGCAAUAGAAGCAAGAUGAAUGCAAAUUGUGGUUUUUCAUCCAAUAUCCUGAUUCUUGAUGGAAGCAACUGGGUAAGGUGGAAUGUAUUAAUGAAAUCAUUAUUUGGAACACAAGAUGUGAUUGAAAUUAUGCAAGAUGGCUAUGAAGAAUUAGGUGAAGAUAUUAUUAAUGCACAAAGAACCACUUUCAAAGAAUUAAGAAAGAAGGAUUAUAAGACAUUAUUUUACACUCAAUAGAAUGUGGAUUCUUACUACAUUGAGAAGAACUUGAAAGCCACCAGAUCGAAGGAAGCAUGAGAUAUGUUAGAAAAUUACCAUAAGGGUGGAGAAAAGGUGAAACAACUGAAGCCAUAGCCACUAAGGGAAAAAAAAAAGCUUAUGCAAAUGGAAGAGAAUCAGAAAAUUAGUGAUUAUUUCUCAAAGUUUAUUACUUUGGUGAAUCAGAUGAAGACAUGUGGUGUAUAGUUCAUUAGAAGAACAUGAAUUUAUGGUGAUUGAUAGAGGCGCUGAAAGACAAGGCUAACGAGUGAUGAAAAAGAAUGGAAAUGAAAAGAACGUCAAAAAGAAAGGAACAUGGGGCUUCAAGAAUUCAAACUGGUUCAAUGUUGCUAGAUAAAAGUAUGAAGAAAAAGCUUAAUCCUUUAAGAGAGGAUGAGGAUCAAGAAAGAAUCAUACCAAAAAAAAGAUUUUUAUAAAAUCAAGAUGCAAUGAUGCAAUUGUGAAAAACAUGAUCACUUUGCAAAUGAUUGUUGGUAUCAAAAUGAAUGAGGAAAUAAAUGUAAAAAAAAAGAGAUGAAGAAGUCAAUAUAGCUCAUGAUGAUGGUUAUGAGUCUGAGAUAGUUUUACUUAUGGCUACCACAUGUGAAGGGAAUCCAAUGUGUGAGGAGUGGUACUUGGAUUCAAGAUACUCAAAUCACUUGACAAGAUGUAAGGAAUAGCUUACUAAUUUAGACUCAAGCAAGAAGAUUAAUGUAAAGCUUGCAAAUGACAAAUACCUUGGAGCAGCAAGUAUUGGUGAUAUAGUGAUCAAAAGUAAGAAUGGAAAGGGUGUUUUGGAUGAAACGCAAUAUGCAAAGCAUAGAAUAAUUGGUGGGAAAAGUCUUCUCAAUAACAAUGAUUGAAGAUGCACUUCAACAGUUUGUUAAAAGUUAAAAGUUGAUUUUGAGUUCUUAAUUGUCAAAAUAUAGAACUUUUAAAUGCAAUAUUCAAACUACAAAAGAAGUAUGUCUUACAAGCAUUAAGGAACCAUAAUGGCUCUGGCACACAAGGUGUGAACAUCUAAAUUCUAGAAGUUUACGUAAGUUAAAAUCUAAGAAUCUAGUGCUUGGUAUACCAAAAUUGAGUGAAAGAAUUAUGACUUGUGAAGUUUGUUUAAGGACUAAGAAAAAUAGAGAACCCCUUGGUGCAGAAAUUCCUAAGAGGUCAAUAUAUGCUUUUGAAAUUAUGCAUUAUAAUAUAUGUAGUCCUCUUAAAGUACAACCAUUAGGAGGUAGCAGAUACUUCAUCACCUUUGUGAUGAACACACAAGAAUAAUGUCUAACCUUGUGCAUGUGUAACCAGUGUCACAACACAGGGCCUCAUAUGUGUGGUGGGCCUCAAAAUAAAAAUAUAUUAUAGUAUGUGAUCCCUAUACUAUGAUUAGUAUUUGUGCAAUAUCACAUCAGUCUAAAUAAAACAAUGUGUGACUAUUAUUUUAAGACAAGCUCGUCAUUUUGAAAGAGUGUCAAUUCAUUAUUUGUUUUGGUUGUUUUAGUUUUAUAUUCACAAGUGUUAUUCAUCAUUUUAAAACUAUUCCAAUUAACCAUGACACUAUUUCUUCAACUGACAACAUUAUCAUGAAAGCAUCUAGUGUAUAUCCAAUUUACUUAAUUUUAUAAAUCAUUUUAAAGCAAAUAUCUUACACUAUUAUUUUAUACACUGCAUCAAUUCAUUUUAUUUUAUAGUGAUUUGGUAUUUUUUAAUGUAUUCUUUAAAUUUUAUUUUAUAAUAAUAUAUUAAAAAGUUUAGUAAACUUAAAAUUAUUUUAAUUAAAUCGUUAUGAUUAAAUAAAUAAUAAAUUAAAUUGUUAAAUUUAAAAAGUGUUUGAUUAAUUUGACUUAAUCUAGUCUAAUAUAUGAAAUGUAGUUCGAUUGGUUUAUAUAAUUGAGUUAAUAAUUUAACGGAGGUGAAUGUACAUAGUUAAAUUCAUAACACUAGUCUAAUGUAGUAAUUAUAUAAUCAUAAUUUUUUUAUCAAAUAGUAUAGUAGUUGAGAAUUUCACUUUUAAAUAUAAAUAAGUGAGAUGUCGCAGAUUUGAAUUCACGUCCAUGCAUUUUAUAUCUUUGUACAACUAUUCUAUUAUAUCAAUUACUAAUAAAAGUUUUAUGUAAUUUUUAAAGAGAAAUUUUAGUAUAUAUGUUAUACUUUAUUUUAUUAGCGGACUCUUAUAAAACUCAGAACAUGACCUCCAAUUUGUUUGGGUCAGCCCUGACAAGAAUGUUAUGGCUCUACACCAUUAAGUUCAAAAGUGAAGCAUUUUAAGUUUUCAAAAAAUUUAAAGUCUUGGUUGAGAAGGAGAGUGACAAAGAAAUUAAGGUAUUGAGGACAUAUGGAGGUGGAGAAUAUACUUCAAAUAAGUUUGAAGCAUAUUGACUUAGCAAAAUCAUAAUGCAUAAAGUGACCUCACCCUACACAGAAUGGUACAAUGGUAUUGCAGAAAGGAGAAACAUGACCAUUUUUGAUAUGGCAAGAAGCAUGUUAAAGCACAAAAACCCGACACAUGUGUUUUAGGGUGAGGCGGUCAAUACAAGAACUUAUAUUAAUAAAUUUCCCACCAAAAAGUUGAAGAUGAAGGUGCCAAAGAGAAGUUUGGUGUGCAAGAAAUCCAUCUAUAAAGCAUUUAAAAGUGUUUGGAUCAGUCUGCUUCAAACACAUCCAUGGUCAAAAAAGGACUAAGAUUCAAGACAAAAGUAUGAAAAUGAUAUCCAUAUGAUACCAUUCAAUAGGUCCCUACAAAUUGUAUAAUCUAUUAACAAAAAGUAGACAUCAAUAGAGAUGUGAUAUCUGAUUAAUCAGAUACUUGGAAAUGGCAGACUUAAUGCACAAGAGAAAGUGAGGACAUAAAAAUAUUUGUAGAACAUGAUUAUAAUGCCAAUUUUUAUGAUGAAAUAAAUUGUGAAGGCAUUGAAACUGAUGAAACUACACACGUGGAAUCUCAUACUCACAAGAGGCCACAAAGGAGAAGGCAAGUCCCUAUAAUACUUGUAUUGAUAAAAAAAGUACAAGGUGUGUGUGUUCCAUCUGCAGAUGUAUUAUAAUUUGGGUAGUGAGGGAUUACUCACGGCGUCGAGAAUCCAUGUAUGGUGGCUUUUUAGGCUGUUUAAGGGAUCAACUUGCGUGAGGUAAAAGGCCAUAUUAGUGGCCGAUGUUGCUGGGUUGCAAGUGGGGGUUAGGUUGAUGUUGUGUUAAGGUUACUAUGAACAUAGUUCUCUUUGAGUAGUGGUAAAUGUGUAUGACUUGAGAAUCCCUUAUCCUCUUAAGAGAUACAGUAUUUAUGUGAGUCCCUUCCGCGAAGGAUUUUUACCUCCUAGACGUAGUCUUAACUGUUCCCCACUUUCUAUGGGAGGUUAUCAGCCGCAUAUCUUCUCAGAGUCAGCAAGGAUUUUCUCUCAAUUGAUUCCCACAUAAGUGGGAUCUCUUGCGCGACUCCCUUGGAUUAUUUUCUAACUUCAUUCAUUGGAAUAUCAAUUCCAUCCUAUAGAAUAUCCCACAACUCAUCAUCAAGGUCUAUAAUAUGAGUAUACAUCUUUAAAUUCCACCAUUCGAAAUCUGUAAAGUCUCCACUGAAAGUUGAAGGUCUAGCUGUAUAUUUUUUCUUUUCUAUAUUGCUAUAAUCAUGAUUUAUAGUAGCACGUGGAAUAGUAAUACCACUUUAUGAUCUAUAAAUAAUAGACAUGUUUCAAUAUAUUUUUCUCAAGAUCUUUUAUGUACCGAUGUUAAGUUUUAAGCACAAACCGUACUCUGAUGCCAAUUGAAGGUGAGAAAAAUACAAGAAGGGGGAUUGAAUUGUGUUGGUUAUUUCUUUAUUUUUGAAAUUCUUAAGUCAUAUUCUAAACUCAAUGUUAUAGAAUUUGAGUUAGUUAGAGAUAGGCAGCAGAUAUAAAGUGCAAGAAAGAAUAAACAACACACGAAGUUAUCCUGAUUCCUCUCAUAAAUCGAGAGUAAUUCAGUCCCCUUGUACUUACAAGAUAUUUUCACUAUAAUGGCAUAAGAUUGCAAUUUUUUCAAGCACAAAAGCAAGAGACUUAUUUGCUUACACACACAAGUAUAAGACUUCCUUGCUUAAACACACAAGUCUAAGACUUCAUUAUUCAAACACACAAGUCUGAGACUUUAUUGCUCAAACACACGACUAUGAAACUUCCUUUCUCACACAUAAAAGUAUGAGACUUCAUUGCUCAAAUACACAAGUCUGAGACUUUCUUUCUCUCACACAAGUAUGAGACUUCAUUGCUCAAACACACAAGUCUGAGACUUCCUUUCUCACACAUACAAGUAUGAAACUUUAUUGCUCAAACACACAAGUUUGAGACUUCCUUGCUCUUUACUGAAGGCCAUCAUCCGACUAUCCUCCUUUUGAGAGUUCCCUUUGAAGGAUUGUUCGAUCGUCAAAUACCAAUCGUUACAUAAGCAUUGUACAAACUCUUUCCCCAUUGGUUGCCUUCUUUUCCAAUGGACAUGACUUCAAUUACUUUUCUCAGGGAUGUCUCAUAUUUCUAGGGACACUGCUUCCUCUUAAGUGAGUUUUUUAGGUUUCAGGGUUUCCCAUUCCCUCCCCUAUUUUUUCCUUCCUCCUUCCCAGGUGUACUUGGUCAAGCUUCCCUUAUUUAUCAACUCUUCAAUGGAGUCCUUCAACUGGAUAUCAUCAUUAGUGUUAUGAUCGUGACUUUUGUGGAAACAAAAGUAUUUCUAUUUUUUAUCCUAUUGGACUCUUUAAGCAAAUAUGGAAGCUUAAUGUUGGCCUCUUUAAAUUUGUACUGGCACACUCAUACCAAAUAUUUCCUUUGGAAGUGUUCAAAGGGGUAUAAGAGGAACCUCUCGAUCGAGACCCCUGCUCACAGUCAUCUCUUCAACGGUUAGUAUAUUUCUCAGUGUAUUUAUCAUACUCGUGGUUUUUACCUGAGACCCCAUGACCAUCUAGGAGCUUUCCCCCCCCCCCCCCCCCNNNCCCCAAAUUAUGUUUGACCGAGCCUAGUUCAGCAAUCCGUUCAUGUUGUUCGCCUAUUCUAGCCCCAAAUUCUCAUGAAACUUACCAUCCUAUCUCAAGCCCUUAUUAAAGAUCCAAGACUUUAAGUCGUAUUCUCCAUCUUCUAACACUACAUCCACUCUGGUGAACUUGACAAUGUAUUCCGGCAAGGUUUCUUUCUUGCCUUAUGUAAUUCCACUAAGUAUCGCCAUUAUGGUUGGUUGUUUCUUCUGGGCGGUAAAUUGAGAGGUGUACACAUCAGAAAGGUCACCCUACGAGUUUAUAAUCCCGUCCAAGAGAAACUUGUACCACUUCAUGUUAGUUUGUGUUAGGAUUAGUGCAAAGAGUUUUCACUUGACAAGUCCUUCAACGUGAUAAUAAUCUAAUUGAUUAUCAAAAUGCUCGAUAUGCACGUCAGGAUCCUUGUUCCCAUUGUAGUCAGUUGGAUUUAGAGGGUACUCGCAUGUUCUCAGUAUUCUACUGUCAAGAAUAUGAGAGGACAAAGGGUUUCUCAUUCGCUCGGCCAUUAGAGAAACUACUUAAGAUCUUUUCCUCUCUUAUGUAUCGGGAGCCAAGGAACGGGUUAGAUGAGGAGCUUUUGAUAAACGUGGUUUCCGCUUCUCUCUAACGAGUCGAGGGAGGAGUCUGGUGCUUGUCGCUCCUGCGAGGCCGAAGAGAAAGUGGAACUUAUUCAUGUACCAUAGAUGCCUUGGCCGAAGUUGGAUAUGGAACAACUACAAAAUGAUCCUGAGAAGUUGUCUUACGCACAGUGCUUCCCUGAGGAGGAUAAAGUUGUAUGUUUCCUCCAAUUUUAUAAUCCCCUCAGUCAAAAUUUGGGAAUUCUUUUGCUGCAUCAUAUUGUACAUGGUAUUCAUCAUAUUAGUUGUUCCUCGUAUGCCUAAGUUUGCUUGCAAUAUCUGGAGCCCGAUGAACAUCUUCGGUGUGCAACCAUCAAAGCUUGAGGUAGAGGUCGAUUAGAAAGUACGGCGAGACAAGGGACUAAUUAGGUUGAAAAUCCGGGAGAGGUGGAAAUAUUCCUUAAACAACUCUUUGAGGAAUUACAUUUAAGUCAGUUGGAUUUGAUGGUGAAAUUACCAACACUGGAUCAUUCAAUCUUAGAGAAAGAGGAAUAUGAGGAUUCUUUUGCUUGCUUCUGCCACUGCAGCGACGACAACCUAGGCAGAUCUAGUAGACUUGGAAUCAUCCAUAAUAAGAGUUGACGAAUUUUAGAUUUCUGGUGAAGAGAUCAAUAACUCAACGACCGAAGAUCUGAGAUCUGAAUCUUUGACGUAAGAAUGAAGGUUUCUUGCCGAAUUUCAUAGAAAUCAAAAGUCAAUUCCCAUAUACCACAUCUUUAUUCCGUGAGGGAACAAAAAAUGUGAGAUGGAUCAGUGAUUUGAUUUUCAAUGCAGUGAGUUGAGCUUUCUGAUACGAAGGAGAGAGGUGUGCCUGCAAGAUUAUCACUCUUUCAAGUCAGUGAGAGAAUGAGAAAUAAUAUUACCUGUAAAAUGACAUCUUUUUUCUUUAUAUAAUAAAUAGUGGCGGAGCCAGAUAAAAAAAAUUGGGAUGGCCACUAACGUAAAAUAAAGAUUAUAAAUAAAAUGUAAAUAGUAUUUUAAAUAAAACAUUAAAGUUAAAAUAAAUACAAAGUUAAUUACUAAAAAUUUAAAUUACAUGACUUAAAACUAAUUGGAGUUGAAAUUGAAAAUUAUUCUUCUCUUGAUCACUAAAAUCCAUAGGAUAAUAUUUUUCAACUAAAGAACAAAUAGUAUCAAUGCUAAAAGCUUUAUAUCCAUCCUUAGGAGAUAAAGAACAAGAAAGAGUUCACAAAUCCAUUGCCUGCUCACUGAAUCUGCUAUUCAACUCUUGUAACUGUUUGUCAAUGGUAGUGAAAAAGAUUUCAACUUUAAAGUAAUGCUGAAUUGUGACUUGAUUCUCUUCAAGACGGGAGCGUCCAAAUCUUAUUGUUGAAUGAACAUCAUUAAGAUCAGGAAUCUCAAUACCAUGCUUUUCACAAAAAGAUACCACUUUAGUAAACAAUAUAUCUCAACCAUUUUCUCUCAAACGUUGAAUAAGAUGUUUUGUUGAACGAACCAAGUUCAUAACAUUAACUACAUCUUGAUUUUUUUUGUAAGGCUUGACAAAGCAUAUCUGUUAUUCCCAUGAUUUCUUUCAUCAAGUGAAAAAUAAAUAUAAAAUCAAAUGCCUUCAAGUAUUGUAAAAACUAUCUGCAUCCCCACGUGUAGCAUAACUCCCUCUAUCUUUUGCAAUUUUUUAAAAAACUAAACAAGUUGCUUCAUACAUGUUUGUCAAGCUAGAAAUUGAAUCGUAAUGUGAUCCCCAACGAGUAUCUCCGGCUCGUUUCAAUGUACCAACUUGAUUUGCACCUUUACCAGUUACAAUCUCAUCAAUCUCUAACAAAUAAGCAAUUUCUUCAUCAAGCUAGAAAUUGAAUCGUAAUGUGAUCCCCAACGAGUAUCUCCGGCUCGUUUCAAUGUACCAACUUGAUUUGCACCUUUACCAGUUACAAUCUCAUCAAUCUCUAACAAAUAAGCAAUUUCUUCUAAUUGGGCAGUUUGUAACUCAUCAUGACGCUUUGUAGAAGAACAAACAACAUUCACAACAAAUAUCAGUUUCUCAAAAAAUUUAUGAACAAGUUUGACUUCUCUUGAUGAUGUAACUAAUGCAAGUUGCAAUCUAUGAGCAAAACAAUGAACAUAGUAUGCAUAAGGACAAUCCUUCAUAAAGAGGGCUUGUAAACCAUUCCAUUCUCCUCUCAUAUUGCUAGCACCAUCAUACCCUUGGCCACGAAUGUUAGAAAUAUUAAGGUUAUGUCAAGAAAGUAUAUCACAUAUUGCUUCCUUAAGAGUUAAAGACGUGGUGUCUUUAACAUGUGCCACAUCAAAAAAUCUCUCUUGUAUUAAACCAACUUUAUCAACAAAUCUUAAUACAAGAGCCAUUUGUGAUUUUUUGAUCUGAUAUGAUAUUAUAGGAAGAUAAAGAUGAAUAAUAGGAAAAUUGAUUCUUUUUUCAAAAGGAAAGCAUGUGAAAUUGAAAGAGAAGAGAGAGUAUGAAGAAAUUAUAAUCCCGAAUCCGAAUCUGAAACAGUUCUUGAGAAUCCAACAAUUGAAGAGCAUCAUGGUUUUGAAAUUCUUGGAACGCGGAUCCUGGAAAAGCGUCCUCCGAUUUGGCAAUAUCCACCCAAAUCAAGUGGAUGCAAUACGAAGAGCUUAUCUGAAAAUGCGGGGUCCAUAUCAAAUUCAUUUAGAAAACUAUCCUUUGUCCGAUAACGAGGAUCAUCCGAGCAGGUUUCAACAUACUUCGUUUAGCAUAUUUCCAUCAUGGUUAGAAAUUCACCAUCUGAAGAUGCUGCAUAUUGCUUAUCAUGUUUAACUUUUUCAAGCAAAAAACUAAAGUGGACGUCCCGGAUCACUUGUCUUUAUUUCUAUGCUUUUAGAAUUGGAAGAAAGUUAGGAAUGGAAAACAUUGUUCCUUUCUUAAACACAUAGGGAAGGAUCCUGCUCACCACACAACAAUGCAAUGAAAGUUUGUCAAGAUUGUUGAAUCAAGAUGGUCAUAUUAGAAAUGUUUAUUCAAGUGCAAGUUCAAGUCAAAGAAUGAAUAACCGGUUACGACUCAAGACUUCAAUUGACAACUGUUCGUUGGUUAACACUACAAGCUUGUGCUUUUAGGGGUCACGACGAAAGUAGCAAAUCAAGAAAUCAAGGUAACUUUCUUGAGUUAUUGAAAUUUUAGCAUCCUACAAUGAUGAAGUUGUAAAAGUUGUGUUGGACAAAUGCUCCACAAAAUUGCAAGUAUACUUCACAUCAAAAUUCAAAAAGAGCUCUUGCAAAUUCUUUCUAGUAGGGUGAAAAGAGUAUUCGUGAGGAAAUUGGUGAUUCCAAAUUUUGUAUCGUUGUUGAUGAAGCUCGUGAUGAGUCAAAAAAGGAACAAAUGGCUCUUGUAUUAAGAUUUGUUGAUAAAGUGUGGUUUAAUACAGAGAGAUUUUUUGAUGUGCACAUGUAAAGACACCACGUCUUUAAACUCUUAAGGAAGCCAAUAUCGUGAUAUACUUUCUUGACAUAAACCUUAAUAUUUCUAACAUUCGUGGCCAAGGGUAUGAUGGUGCUAGCAAUAUGAGAGGAGAAUGGAAUGGUUUACAAGCCCUCUUUAUGAAGGAUUGUCCUUAUGCAUACUAUGUUCAAUGUUUUGCUCAUAGAUUGCAACUUGCAUAGUUACAUCAUCAAGAGAAGUCAAACUGUUCUAAAUUUUUUGAGAAACUGAUAUUUGUUGUGAAUGUUGUUUGUUUCUUCUACAAAGCGUCAUGAAUGAGUUACAAACUGCCAAUUAGCAGAAAAUUGCUUAUUUGUUAGAGAUUGUGAGAUCUGUAACGCUGGUAAAGGUGCAAAUCAGUUGUUACAUGAAACGAGCCGGAGAUACUCGUUGGGGCUCACAUUACGAUUCAAUUUCUAGCUUGACAAACAUGUUAUGAAGCAACUUGUUUAGUUUUUUAAAAAAAAUUGGCAAAAGAUAGAGGGAGUUAUGCUACACGUCGGGGAUGCGUAUAGUUUUUUACAAUCUUGAAGGCAUUUGAUUUUAUAUUUAAUUUUUCACUUGAUGAAAGAAAUCAUGGGAAAACGAUAUGCUUUGUCAAGCCUUACAAAGAAAAAAAUCAGAUGUAAGUUAAUGUUAUGAACUUGGUUCGCUCAAACAAAACAUCUUAUUCAACGUCUUGAGAGAAAAUGCGGUUGAGGAUAUUUGUUUUACUAACCAGGCGGUAUCUUUUUUGUGAAAAGCAUGGUAUUGAGAUCCUGGAUCUAAUGAUGUUCAUUCACAAAGAUUUGGACGCUCCCGUCUUGAAGCGAAUCAAGUCCACAAUUCAGCAAUUACUUUUAAAGUUGAAAAUCUUUUUCACUACCACUUGACAAACAGUUACAAGAUUGAAUAGCAGAUUCAGUGGGCAGGCAAUGGAUUUGUUGAACUCUUUCUUGUUCUUUAUCUCCUAAGGAUGGAUAUAAAGCUAUUAGCAUUGAUUUACUAUUUGUUCUUUAGUUUGAAAAAAUAUUAUCCUAUGGAUUUUAGUGAUCAAGGAGUAUGAAUAAAUUUUCAAUUCAACUCCAACAUUUGCAUUUGUUGCUCGUCAAGCAUCAAACUUGAAUAAUUUAUCAACAUUCAAGCAACUAUGUUUCAUGUUUGUUGCAUCUGCGAGACAGGAUGAAAUUACUUCUUGAUUGAUAGAUACUCUUAAUCUUACUCAUGAACUCUUCCCGUUUCUCUACGGUCACAACUGGAGGUCUUUAUUCAGCAAUGAAAAUUAUUAGACUAAGUGAGAAACAAGAUGGAUGUGGGUUUCUUGGAGAUAGCAUGACAGUAUAAUAUGAAAAAAAAGGGAGAUUAGUGCAGAGCAUUUAGUUUCAGAGUCAAUUAUGACGAUAUUUCAUAGUCCACUCAGAACACGUAAACAUUACUUUAAAGGUAGUUUUAAGUCCAUGUAAUUUAAUUUUAGUAAUUAACUUUGUAUUUAUUGUUAACUUUAAUGUUUUAUUUAAAAUACUAUUUACAUUUAUUUAUAAUCUUUAUUUUACGAGUGGCCAGUCAUUUUUUUUAUCUGGCUCCGCACUAUUUAUUAUAUAAAGAAAAAAAGAUGUCAUUUACAGGUUAAUAUUAUUUCUCAUUCUCUCACUUGACUUGAAAGAGUGAUAAUCUUGCCAGGCACACCUCUCUCCUCGUAUCAAAAGCUCAACUCACUGCAUUUGAAAAUCAAUCACUGAUCCAUCUCAAUUUUUUGUUCCCUCAAACGGAAAUAAAGAUGUGGGUUAUAUGGGAAUUGACUUUGAUUCUAUGAAAUUCGGCAAGAACCAAUUCAUUCUUACGUCAAAGAUUGCAAUCUCAAUUCUUCGGUCGUUGAGUUAUUGAUCCUUCACAGCAAAAUCUAAAAUUUCGUAACAUCUUAUUAUGGAUGAUUUCCAGUCUACUAGAUCUGCCUAGGUUGUCGUCGCUGCAGUUGCAGAAGCAAGCAACAAGAAUCCUUCAUAUUCCUCUUUCCUAAGAUUGAAUGAUCCAGUGUUUGGUAAUUUCACCUUCAAAAUCCAACUGACUUAAAUGUAAUCUCAAAAGAGUGUUUAAGGAAUAUUUCCACCUCCUCACCGGAUUUUCAACUAAUUAGUCCCUUGUCUCGCCUGUACUUUCUAAUCGCCUCUACCUCAAGCUCUUGAUGAUUUGCACCCGAGAUGUUCAUCGGGCUCCAGAUAUCGCAAGACAAACUUAGGCAUACGAGGAACAACUAAUAUGAUGAAUACCAUGUACAAUAUGAUAGCAGCAAAGAAUUCCCAAAUUUUGACCUGAGGGAUUAUAAAUUGGAGAACAACAUACAACUUUAUCCUCCUCAGGGAAGCACUGUGCGUUAAGAAACAACUUCUCAGGGAUCAUUUUGUUAGUUGUUCCAUAUCCACUUCGGCCAAGGCAUCUAUGGUUACAGAAUAAGGUGUCCCACUUUUCUCUUCGGCCUCGCAGGAGCGACAAGCACCAGACUCCUCCUCUCGACUCGUUUAGAGGAAGCGGAAACCACGUUUAUCAAAGCUGCCUCAUCUAACCCGUUCCGUUGGCUCCCGAUACAUAAGAGAGAAAAAGAUCUUAAGUAGUUUCUCUAAUGGCCGAGUACAGAAUGAGAAACCCUUUGCCUCUCAUUCUUGACAGUAGAAAUACUGCGAACAAUGCGAGUACCCUCUAAAUCCACUGACUACAAUAGGGAACAAACGGAUCCGACGUGCAGAUCGAGCAUUUUGAUUAAUCAAUUAGAUAUUACGCACGCUUUGAAGGACUUGUCAAGUGGAAAACUCUUUGCACUAAUCCUAACACAAAUCAACACUAGUGAUGGUACAAUGUUUCUCUGGACGGGAUUUAUAAACUGCGUUAGGGGGUGACCUUUCUGAUGUGUACACCUCUCAAUUUACCGCCCAGAAGAAAACAACCAAACCAUACCUGGCGAUAC